CGGAAUGCGCGGCCGUACAUUCCGUAUUUUGUUUUCUUCUUAUAUACACAGAUUAAACUGAAUUGUGAAUUGUCAGGCGCUGUAUUGGGGUAGUGUCAAACUGUCAUGAAUAACAACACGUUGUUUUUAUUACAAUAACACAAGACAAGAUGGGUACCACUUUUACUGUUUGUUGCGAUGUUUUUUAAGCAUGUGUCCAUGCGCAGUUUGUUACUUGUCAAUUGUCGCGGCUUAAUUGGAGUAGGGUCAAACUGUCAUGCAUAGCACCUCGUUGUUUUUAGCUUAAUUGGAGUAGGGUCAAACUGUCAUGCAUAGCACCUCGUUGUUUUUAUUACAAUUACACUAGACAGGAUGGGUAUCACUUAUUGGACUGUUUGUUGCGAUUUUGGUAUAUUGCACAUUCGGAAUAUCCCGCUAUAUUGGAACUUAACAUUGAAUGUAAAAGACUCAUUUAUGACGUAGCGUUAAUUUUACAAAACAAUUGUUUUGUAAACCGUUUCAAACAAAUACAAAAUAAACACAUUUUCAACAUUUGUUUCAUUAUAAUAAAACUAUCGAUAGCAAUAAGCGACCACUAUCUUGAAGACCACCAUGGUGUGAAUGCCUGAUGAAAUCAAUAAUUAGCCGAUAAAUCGCCGAUAAGGUGUCAUAAAAAACACUGGUACACACGAUAAGUAGAAUCGGAUUGUUAAUUGCGGGCAAUAAAGGGAUUAGCGGUGGUAAGUGUUAGCGAAACAGAGCUUGAAUAGCGAAUUUUAUUGGGAACCUAUACACCUUACAUCGUUUUUUACGAAUGUCGGGACAAAUCGUCUCAUGGCGGGACGGCGGGACAAAGGGCCCAAAAGCGGGACUGUCCCGCCGAGAUCGGGACGUAUGGCAUGUAUGAUUUUUGGCAUAUAAAUUACAUUAUUUCUAAAGAAAGAGAUUUAGUUUGUUGAGCAAAUAAUUGAUUUUCAUUGAAUAUUUUUGAUAAACUAAUAAAAUAUACUUCAUAUUUAAAUCAAUAUUUUUAUUGGAAAAUCACUUUUCACAAAUACGAAUAUGCGGUCAAAAAGAAUUCAAGAUGGUUCGGACAAAAACAAGUGCUAGCGCUAAGACUAAAAAAAAACAAGCGAAGCAAGGUACAGGCGUAAUAAAAGUGAAAGGAUAAUAUACAUUGGUAUUCAGUGUGAUCGAUGGAGAAGAGUUAAAGAAGCUACUGGGAUUGAAAAGGACGAGAAAAUGAUGGAAAUAUUGAUCGAUGCAACUACUUCUGAACUAGAGAGCUUCAACAAUCAUCUUUUGAUACGCUCCAAACCAAAGCGAAAUGCUUUCAGUUUCAGCUAUGCAGGUGUCAGUUAGCAGCAAUAGAUUAUUCAAAACACUUGAAUCGUCCUGUUUUGUUGGACAAAGAGGGCAAUGAGAGGAGAAAAAAAGUGUACUCAAAAGCGGCUUGUAAUUGGAGCACAAGGCCUGUGAAAAAAACAUACAUAACCGGUUUGAUCACUGAAGUUAUAAAUGAAUUCACCAUAGGCAAGAAAAGAAUAAGUGGCAAAUAUGAACAGCUGCCUGAAGACUCCAAAAGAAUUAGGUCAACUAUAGCCCCCGUCACCCCUCCACCUACAUCAAUACUUAGAGAUCAGCAUGUCUCUAGAUUGAGAAAAGCGAAAAAAUGAAUUGUUGCCAAAGACGUGUUUGAUAUUCAUUUGAAGUUGACGCAGAAGUUAUCCUUGUUAGAUAACUAUUAAGUUUCACAUCUUUAGUGUUAAUAUGAUUUUAGAAGUGUUUUGAAAAUGUACAAUCUUACAUUAUGUUAUAAAUAAUGAUUGCUCUUGGUUGUACAAUGCAAUUACAUUUUUAGGAAGUUUUAAUAUUGAAUUUAGCAUAAAAUAUUUUUUUUAUGUUAUAUUUUGUGCGAUUUUUAUCAAUACAUUUUUAUGCUCCCACAAAAUUUAUUUUGGGGGUAGCAUAUAGUUGCCGCUUCGUCUGUCCGUCCGUGUGUCCGUCUGUGCACAAUUUUUGUCCAGGCUAUUUCUCAGAAAGUAAUGACCGGAAUUCAAUGAAACUUUAUGGGAAGCUUCACUACCAAGAGGAGAUGUGCAUAUUAUCAGCCGGUUCUCUUCAGAUGACUUUUCACAGAGUUAUGGCCCUUUGAAAUUUUUCAUUGUACAUAUAGUGCAAUUCUUGUCCGGGCUUUUUCUCCGCAACUAAUGACUGGAAUUCUAUGAAACUUUAUGGGAAGCUUCACUACCAAGAGAUGUGCAUAUUAUCAGCCGGUUCUCGUCGGAUGAUUUUUCACAGAGUUAUGGCCCUUUGAAAUUUUCCAUUGUACAUAUAGUGCAAUGCUUGUCCGAGCUAUUUCUCAGCAACUUAUUACAGUAAUUCAAUGAAACCUGAUGGGAAGCUUCACUACCAACAGGAGAUGUGCAUAUUAUCAGCCGGUUCUGGUCGGAUGAUUUUUCACAGAGUAAUGGCCCUUUGAAAUUUUCUAUAAACUGUACAUUUAGUGCAAUUCUUGUCCGGGCUAUUUCUCCCCAACUACUGACCGGAAUUCAAUGAAGCUUUAAUCCAUCCAUUGUAUAAUUUUGUCCAAAGUUAUGCCCCUUAAGACGUUUCCUUUUAUUUGAAUAUAUAGUACAAUAUUGUGACAAAAAAAUAAUUUUGGGGAGCAUCACCAGUCUACACCGGUUUCUUGUUACACAUGUAAAGAACACAAUUUUUCUUACAAAAUGUUUAGUUUUUUGUUUGAUUAUCGAUAUGUGUUUUUCAUUGUCUUCUUUAUUACCUGUAUUUAAUAAACCAUUGUAGUCAA